AUGGGUUCUCAGUGCCUUGGAAGACCGGUAGAGGCUCUGUCUGUCCCGGCCUGGCAGGCAGAGGGCCCCGGCGCAGGGCGAGGCUCCAGUGCGCAGGCUCGCGGGCGCAGGUGGGAUUGGACAGCGACGAAGGCCGGCGGGCUAGGCGUGGACCCAACUGGCGAGGCUGCUGGGGUUGCGGCGGGGCAGUUGGGGCGGCCCCGCAGGCCCAGAGAUGAGUGUUCUGUGAUUACCCUGGGAUGAUGUUCAGGUAAUGCUGUGUGGUUUUUUCUCUCCUGGGAAGUGGAAGGCAGGAACUUAGAAAGUGAGAUAUAACUAAGAAGGGUCUGUUAAUGAGGACGACAACGUAUUUCCCACACUAGCCUUUGUCAGAGCUCUCUAAGACUACUCCCAGGUUCAGCGAUUGGAUAGAAGGAUUCAUAGGUUUCAGCAGGUAGUCACAUUCAUGGCUAAGAUAUGGUAGACUGAAAAGGUACAAAGCAAAAUCAACAAAGGAAAAUCAGACACAAUCUCCCCAGAAUAUUCUCCUUGUGAGUCACGUAGGAUGCACUUAAUUUUCUGAAUAACAAGGUAUGAGAACUUGUGUGAAGUGUUGUCUAUCAGGGAAGCUCAUCUGAACAUAAGAAUUUAGGGUCUUUAUCAGGGGUUAGUCAAGGGCACAGACUGUCAGUGCGACUGAUAGCAGUCACUGAAAUUCCAGAUACCUAGAAGGAAAGAAGAUGUUUUAGGAGAAAUGAGCUACUUUUCUCAUUUAGAAAAAAUUUUGCAUUAGUAUAGGCAAUGAUUUUACCAGCCAAGUUCCCAGACACCAGCCAAGGGCCAGUCUUGUAUGCAGGCAUUCCUAAGGAGACUCGUCUUGGACCUGGUAGGUGAAGUCAUGAACUUUUGUCUGUGCACAUAUGUGAUGUGUAUACAUUCCUGACUUACAUGAUCUCAGUUAUGGAAAUGGUUCAGCUGCACCCAGUAAAUAAGUAGUUCUCUGGAGUACGGAAGCUGAGGUCUACUAAUGAAACCGUGCCCCAGAGAGUUAAUCAGUGGCAAAGAGAAAUUCUUGAAUUUAUAGGAUUGGUUGAUAAAAACAAAAAACAAAAACAACUUUCUGAAACACUGAAAUUCUCUCUGCUUUUAAGAUAACAAAACUGGCUGAAAUCAGUUGGAACCAAUAUGGCAAACUAGAGUCUACAUAGUAUGAGCUUGCUGAGACCACAGCCCACAUUUCCACUGCAUGUUUUGUACUAACUCCCCCGGAAUUUACAUAUGUGACCCAUGAGACAGCAUGAAGAGAUACUGCACAUAACCAAAGCCUUUUCAGCCACCCUUUUCUUUCUGCCAAUCUCCUGCUAUCCCCAAAUUCACUCCCUCAAUGUGUUCUAAUAAAAAUACUGCCUUAAAAACAGUACAUGGAGACAGAUUUGAGCUAGACUCCUGUCUCCCUGUUGGUUGACCUACAAAAAAGUCUUUCUUUUCUCAAAAACCCAGUGCCAUAGUAUUGGCUUCUAACACAUUAAACAGUGAACUUUUUUGCUUGGUAACAGUGAUUGGAGGUACAGGAAUUGUGUAUUUUGAAAUAAAGCACCCUCUUGUAAUUACUGAUACACUUCCAAAAGAGAGAGAGAGGAAUGUAGGAAGGAGGGAAGAAAAAAAGUUUAAACAGACAGAUGGACAAACGGAUGGACCUGAGGUUCAGGAGGUUGGAGGGAAUAUGCCAAAGCAAUUUAUAUCAUGAAUGAAAUAAACAGUAGAAGGUUGUUUGCCUUGGCACCUUAAUAGCAGAGGCAUCCAGAUAACAGAGUCAUUUCGGAAAGAUGUCUUAAGUCAUUAAUUACUUUUACUUGAACCAUUCUAAUAAUUGAAAAAGUAUUUACUUAGAAUGUAGCUCAUGGCAACGCUAUCAUCAGUGCCUGGGUUUCAAGGGGUGAAGCAUUGUUGACAUAGGGUUCCAGCGCCUUUGGAACGUUAAGUCUUCCAUUGUUCCAAUGGAUGCUCACAGUAAUCCUUAGUGAGCUUGCUGCUAACACAGAUGGGGACAGUUUGUUCUCAUGUCUAUGAUGGGUGGGUAGCAACUAUUUUUUAAUGUUUAAACUUACAUUAGUCACUUGAUAUUAUCUUUAUACAAGUGUUUCUAUAUUUUAUUUUAAUUGAAGUACAUUAUCUUUUUGCGGCUUUUUAAAAAUCAACUUUAUUGAGGUAUAAUUAUGUAUAAAGCUUUUAACCUUGCAAAUAAAGACGGUUUUCUUUCUUCCUCCCCAAUAUUAAUCCUUUUAUUUUAUUUUUCUUGUUUUGUCUGAUUGCACUGGGCGAACUGUCAGUGGCUCUGGAGGUAGCACUUCAGCACUUCACUUCUCCCCGCUUCCCUCUGAGCCCCCAGCCCUCACACUCACAUACUACAGGGAAUAAGAAACCAUGGAAUGACAUUUCUUAAUGGUUACGUUUAUAAUCAGAAAAAGCAAUACCACCAUUCUUUAUAAAAAACUAAAAAUCAUUAUUAAAAGGCAUAAAACCUGCCAAAUAAUUACUAGUAGCCUAAGAAGCUUGUACUGAGAAUUUAGUCACAGGAAAUACAGAUUUCAGAGGAAAGAACUCUUAUCCCUGGGGUAACUACAGGUAGGGCAAGAGUCAGUCACUAUUGAACAUUUGAGACUUCUUUCAUUCCCUUCUCUUCAGGCUAGUGUAGGUCUCAGGGAGUAGUGUGUGAUAGGACUUUCACAAGAAUUAGAGGUAGCCCCAGCCCUGGUGCUAAGAAUUGACAGAGGCCGAAGGUGCUGAGCAUGUCAUUUUAAAUUGUAUGUUUUCGCGUCUUGCACCCAACCCAAAGUCCACUGUGAAGAAAUAGUCUUUGUUAGCACCUGUUUCAGUUUUGAGAGAGUUUGAGAUAGACUGAAAAUCCUGUCCUGGCUGAGGAUUUGAGAAUAUGUACAGUAUUCACUGAUUCUCCAAUUAUGUCACCCUGCCACCUGAGGAAAGGUGUUUUGCUUUUGUUUCUUGAGCAAACUAAACACUUGUAGUUUUUCUUUUUUUUAUGAUUAGAUGGGAUCACUUUGUUUCAUAUUGGAGCUUUUGUUCCUCUAUCCUCAGUGCUCUAUCAUAGAAUAAGUAAUACUUUUAAAAGGAUUUCCCUUUUAUCAGGGCUAAUUCUCUAUUUUCUAUACUAUUGCACCUUCCCCAGGAGUUGGAGGGAAACCUUCGUCUUACGGAUCUGACCACUGGCCCCUCAAUAUCUUUCACAAUCUUUCCCUCAGGGACCGAGUGCCUGUCACUCAAGUGAUACCUCUGUGACUUCUCAGAGCUCUUGAUGUGGACAUGCAGAUUAGUUACCUGGUGAUACAUACACCUUCUUUAUGGAAUUAACUAAUUAGUCCCUCAAACAUUUCUUGCAUGUCUCCAAUGUGUUAGUUUAGUGGCUGGAGAUUAAAAAAUGAAAAUGUUAUAGUUUCUGUCCUCAAGAUGCUUCUGGUCCAACCCUAGGAGAUGAGUCCAGAAAUCAUUAUAAAACAUGGAGCUUAUAGGGGAAGCACUUGCAGGGGCUUACUUAGCCAAGCUUGAGGGGAGGUGGGAAAUAUGGUAAAAGCUUGCACUAUAUUUUCUGAAAAGUUUUCUUCUGCAAAUGAAGAUUUUGUUUUUAUCAUAUAGUUUACUUUUCUAGGCUAUCUAAAAUUUCAGUACACAUGUGUUGAUGUUGACUUGUGUGAUCCUAUUACUGAUUUACUACAGUAGCUGCAACUCAAAAUUGAAUUAAAUGUUAAUCAUUUUAAUAUUGCUUUGUUUUGUCUAUUUUAAGAUACACUAGAAAACAUGUCAGGAAAGGGAAAUUUAUCCAGUU
ensembl:lncRNA